rnacentral:lncRNA from 1 species
AAGUUGACUAUUUUUGAGACUAUAAUGUUUGUAUAAACCCUAAACCCUAAUCACUAAACCCUUAACCCAAAUAUAGACCCUAAACACUAAUCACUAAACCCUAAAUCCUAAUCACUAAACCCUAAACCCAAAUAUAAACCCUAAACCCUAAUCACUAAACCCUAAACCCAAAUAUAAACCCUAAACCCAAAUCACUAAACCUUAAACCCAAAUAUAAACCCUAAACCCAAAUAUAAACCCUAAACCAUAACCACUAAACUCUAAACCCAAAUAUAAACCCUAAAAAUUAAACUCUACUCACCCACUUAAAUUCUAAAACCCUAGACAAACCCCUAGUUACUAAAUCUAAACCCAAAUAACUAAAGUAUAAAUCCAAACAAUCUAUAUAAUAUGUUGUCAAUUUUCUCAAUGUAGACGACAUAGUAUGGAACCGGUAUAAAUAGUAUAGAUGUACUGGUCCACUCCAUUUACAUUUUCCAAAUGACCAAGUUUAAGAACGAAAUUACUAAACCCUAAACACUAAUUACUAAAUCCUAAACCCAAAUAUAAACCCAAAACCCUAAACUGUAAACCCAAAUCUCAAAAUCUAAUGCAAACCUCAACUUCACCAC